rnacentral:rRNA from 1 species
CCUACGGGAGGCUGCAGUGAGGAAUAUUGGUCAAUGGACGAGAGUCUGAACCAGCCAAGUAGCGUGAAGGAUGACUGCCCUAUGGGUUGUAAACUUCUUUUAUAUGGGAAUAAAAUGUUCCACGUGUGGGAUUUUGUAUGUACCAUAUGAAUAAGGAUCGGCUAACUCCGUGCCAGCAGCCGCGGUAAUACGGAGGAUCCGAGCGUUAUCCGGAUUUAUUGGGUGUAAAGGGAGCGUAGGUGGAUUGUUAAGUCAGUUGUGAAAGUUUGCGGCUCAACCGUAAAAUUGCAGUUGAAACUGGCAGUCUUGAGUACAGUAGAGGUGGGCGGAAUUCGUGGUGUAGCGGUGAAAUGCUUAGAUAUCACGAAGAACUCCGAUUGCGAAGGCAGUUCACUGGACUGCAACUGACACUGAGGCUCGAAAGUGUGGGUAUCAAACAGGAUUAGAUACCCGUGUAGUC